rnacentral:rRNA from 1 species
AUGAACGCUAGCGACAGGCUUAACACAUGCAAGUCGAGGGGCAGCAUAAAAGUAGCAAUACUUGGUGGCGACCGGCGCACGGGUGAGUAACGCGUAUGCAACCUACCUAUCAGAGGGGAAUAACCCGGCGAAAGUCGGACUAAUACCGCAUAAAACAGGGACACCGCAUGGUGAUAUUUGUUAAAGAAAUUCGCUGAUAGAUGGGCAUGCGUUCCAUUAGGUAGUUGGUGAGGUAACGGCUCACCAAGCCGACGAUGGAUAGGGGAACUGAGAGGUUGGUCCCCCACACUGGUACUGAGACACGGACCAGACUCCUACGGGAGGCAGCAGUGAGGAAUAUUGGUCAAUGGGCGAGAGCCUGAACCAGCCAAGUCGCGUGAAAGGAAGAAGGAUCUAUGGUUCGUAAACUUCUUUUGCAGGGGAAUAAAGUGCAGGACGUGUCCUGUUUUGUAUGUACCCUGAGAAUAAGGAUCGGCUAACUCCGUGCCAGCAGCCGC